rnacentral:rRNA from 1 species
UGCAAGUCGAACGAUGAAGAAAAGAAUUGAAGCUUCGGCAGAAAUUCAUUUCGGAUUAGUGGCAGACGGGUGAGUAACGCGUGAGCAACCUACCUCUUACAAAGGGAUAGCCUCGGGAAACCGGGAUUAAUACCAUAUAACAUUGCGACGAAGCAUUUCGAUGCAAUCAAAGCUACGGCGGUAAGAGAUGGGCUCGCGUCCCAUUAACCAGAUGGUGAGGUAACGGCUCACCAUAGUAACGAUGGGUAACCGGCCUGAGAGGGUGAACGGUCACACUGGAACUGAGACACGGUCCAGACUCCUACGGGAGGCAGCAGUGGGGAAUAUUGCACAAUGGAGGGAACUCUGAUGCAGCGACGCCGCGUGAGUGAUGAAGGAAUUCGUUUCGUAAAACUCUGUUCUAUGGGAAGAAAAGGACUGUACCAUAGGAGAAAGCUCCGGCUAAAUACGUGCCAGCAGCCGCGGUAAUACGUAUGGAGCGAGCGUUGUCCGGAAUUAUUGGGCGUAAAGGGUGCGCAGGCGGCUUUACAAGUUGAAUGUGAAAUAUUGUGGCUCAACCACAAACGUGCAUCCAAAACUGCAAAGCUUGAGUUAAGGAGAGGUAAGUGGAAUUCCUGGUGUAGCGGUGGAAUGCGUAGAUAUCAGGAGGAAUACCGGUGGCGAAGGCGACUUACUGGACUUAAACUGACGCUCAGGCAC